CAGAAUCUCUCACUCCUAAUACUACACAGAAAUGGGAAGGAAGGCAGGGUCCAAAGCCUGCCAUUAAAUGUCAGUCAUGAUUGCUUGUUGUUAGAAGGGAGCUGCAGCUAUGCUAAUACAGUGUGCUCACUACAAAGAACCCUGUAAUUGGGACAAGGCAGUUGCAAAGCUUCCCACAGCUGGCAGGAAUUGCAACUGUUCUCUUUGGUUUUAAUCAUGGCUUUUAAAGCAGAUCAGUAACAGCAACAAUUAGCCUUUUAGAUGGGUCUCAGAAAUUACCAUUUUUAAAAUACGGUGACUCUGCAGGCACAAAACCAAAAGCUCUGAGCUCUGCAUAAAACAAGCAGCCACACGCUCUGGGCUUGUUUGUCACCAGCAUGGUUUCUCCUUUGUUUCUGCUGAAUUGUGAUUCUGAAAAGCAGACAGGAACUUGCACAGUCAAAAGGAAAUAUCCUUAGUCACUUCCCUUUCCCCUCAAAACUUACCCUUUGAAACAGCUUCAGCUCUGAAGAACUGUCUGGCAUUCCAGCUGUGUAAGGAGGCACGACCAUGAGGUUAUGCAGAAUAGAUUGCUGGUUCUACGUCAGCAGAAUGACUUUGAACCUUCCUUCAUUGGACAAAUCUGAAAGACAGCCAUUUGGGAUACAGAAACGGUGGAGGAGGAAUGAGAGGGAAAUAUUCAACCCAACAGAGGACCUGGGAGGGCACUAUCCCCUGAGAGAAGACAAAAAGCAGUGUAACAAUAAUAAACUCAAGAUCCUCUCCAGAGCAGAUGUCACCAUCACAGGUCACAGAUGAGAGGGUCCUCUGCAGCAUCUCCGUGCAUUGCAGUGAGCCCUCAGCCUGGCACCCAGAGCUGCCUGGAGCUUGAUCUGCUCAGACCUGCCUCUAAUUGACUACUUGGAAAUUUUUGCCUGUGCAGCAAGAUUAGUCAGUGACCAGACAGCUUUUAUACAGCCUCUCUUUAUCCAGCUCCUGCUGGAGGGGCUGAGGGAUGGAGUUAGAUCAGUGCAUCACCAGCACUGCUUUUGGCACUGAAACCACCAGAAGUGAGUGAGGUUGGAGGUGAUGGCAGCAUCCUCCUGCCAGCCAAAAUCACCAUCAAGCAGGAUUGGAUGGGAGGCCAAAGGACGGAGUUUUCUACCUCUUUCCACAGAAGGGCUCAACGGAGCAGAUCCAAGCAGACAAAGGCAAAGGAGCAGGACAAAUAGAAACAAAAGAAACUGCAGACAUAGACCAAGAACAAAAGGCUGAGCGGAGUGCUCAUAGUGGGCUCCAGGAAACCUCAUCCCUGAGAAAAUACACGCCAGAUGCAAAGCAUGUGAUCCGCAGCAGCUUCCCCUGCACAGCCCCCAGUUAAUUAUAACUUUGAGGAAUAGCAGUCUAUAAUCACGUACGUGGAAACUCAUUUCUCUUUAAAUGGAACCUGGGUAACAUUUGCUUUUUACUGGAACAAUUUUCGAAUAAACAAGCUCUGAAACUUGAAAGGAAUCUUAAACUCCAUUAAAUAAUACAGUUCCUUAGCAGGAAUUUCUCCUGGGAAGAGAUGUCUUCUACUCAAGUGCCAUGUUAUGACAAGCAUGACAGACUUGAUAGCGAUCUGUUCCAACUCAUGACAUUGCUUAAAUUAGGUUAGAUAGAAUCUGUACAGGCUUUCUAAGGAAAGCUCCUCCGGGUGAAAGCACUAUUAUUUUUGUUAAUGGCUGUGAAUUAUGAUUUGCUUCUCCUAGGAGUCAUAAACAAUGUUGUUACACAGUAGUACAUCAUGUAAUGUAUGUAAUACAUGAUGCCUUAGUAGGGAGGAAACUGUUACAUUUGCAUACAUUAGAGCUACAGUUGUAAUCAGAAUGUGUUUUCCCACUCCUUCACUGAAUAUGUAUGGUUUUCUUUCCCACUUCCCUUUCUGUUACAUAUGUCUCUUCCUUGACCUGGUGUCUUGCUCUAUUUUAUUCAGACUUGGGAAGGAUGCACGCUUACAGCACAUUCCCAUUGCUCUGCAAAGACCAAGCAACCAGCUUCCUUUCAGACUGCUUCCCGAACCUCACCCUUGCCCCAGCCAUGUGACAAGACAGACGGAGGCAGAAAGCAGCUCAGCUCCACCACUACGGGCUCACGCGCGCAUCAGGGCACCAGACAGCAGCUGACGGCACCAAGGACACUUACAGGUAAACAAGGGGAUUUUAAGGUUGUAGCAACUCUCUGCAGCCUGAGCAGGUGACAGCUUACAACACAGAGGGAUGCCAGACAGGGCUGUGUGGGAGGGAGGACAAACCCAUCCUCCCAGUCCUGUCCCGACGGAGCACUCUGUACCACCAGUAGCAGCGGGGUGGGAAGGCACAGGGCAAGGCAUUCAGCUGCGCCGCUGCUUCGUGCGGUUAUUUCCAGGGGAUUGCAUCUUCAAAGAUGCAGCUGGGCUCCUAAGUCACCAAGGUCUUAUUCAGAAAUCCUGCUCAGCGGUCCAACAGGAGAACCCGCGUUUGUAUUCUUACGCACCUUUGAUCAUUCAUGUCUUGAAUUUAAGGAAAGCCAUUCAAGUGCAAAGCCAGAUGAUGAAGAGACAGACUUAAAGGGUUUGUUCUGAGCUUGCAUGAAUACACCUAUUUCCCCAUCAAUAAAAGGCAAGCUGAGAAGACUGACACCCAUUUGUAAUCUGCAAAGAGGAGCUGGAGGCCACCUGAGCAACCUGGAUGUAGAAAGUCAGCAAGUGGUUUUGAUGCUUCACAUGAGCACAGAGAUGAAGCAGCAAAGCUGGAGGUCUCUCAGAAUGAUCAGAAGGCAGCAUUCCACCACAGCAAAUUAAUCAUGGAACAGCUUAGGUUGGAGGGGACCUUAAAGAUCACCCCCCUGCCGUGAGAAGGGCUGCCAACCAUUAGAUCAGGCUGAAAUUAACACUUGGGACCUUGGGAGAUACGCUCCUAGGUACACUGAUGCUGAUCAGGACAGAGCAGACCUUCUCCAUGUCCAUCACAUCAGCAAUGGCUCGAGCAGGGGAAGAGGAGGGCUCAGGUCUAAGUGUCAAAGCCUUACAGUAAUGCUGGGCUGCACAUUCACACCUGAGUUAUUGCCAGUGCGGGGAGGUUACAGAGAAACAAAGAGCAUUUUUUACCGACUCGAACCAAUUUAAGCACAGGUUUCCAGAGUGACACGUUGUUAUUUUUUAGCUGAAAGAUCACUGAAGGCAAACUUCAACCUUUCAGGCAGCCUAUGGGUAGCACAGCAGGCAGCGAGGGGCAGGUGCUCGUGGAGUCUCUGUUACCAAAGGGACAAAUAAGGAUUUCUCUGUUUUGCCACACAGAAACAUCCUCUGUCUCAGAGCAGAUUUAUUGUUGGGCUGCCAGGGAAAAUCUGAUCUUGUUCCUUUUCAUUGAUGAGAGGGUUGUUCCAACGUGAGAUUUCUGAGUGCAUGCAGAGGAGGAGGUGGCAUUCCACAGUACUCCGAGGGUUUUAAUGCAUGAUCAAAGAUGUACUCAGAGCUAAAAUAUGUUGAUGUGCCUAAAAGUGCAGAGAAGCACAUGGGCCCAUGUUCUUAGGGAAGAAAGCACUGAAAUGUUUUGUUGUUUUUUUUUUCCUGGGCAGGGCUUAGUGCAAUUUCCAUGUCCUCAAUGCCAGGAGCACCACAUCUCUCUGCUCUGGCGUUUUGGAACCUGCCUGUGCACCUAUUUGCACCCAGUAGAGAAAUAGGGAAACUAGUCUUUGUACUAAAGAAUAGCUAGAGAUUUCAAAGGAAAACACAUUUUUCAGAAGGGUGUUGCAAUUUCUGAGCUAUCAGGACAGGCACAUAUCAAACAGAAGCCAGUGGUUUGAUUUCCUACAUUUGAAUUCAUGAAAAGUUCACAUUAAAACAAAACAAAACAAAAAGCAAAAAGACACUAAGGUUGUUUUGUUGCCUCUCUUCCCACAUGAGACUCUAGCCACAACGAUCUGAGAAUUACAUGAGAGUCAUUUACCGUCUAGGGAUGAACUAAUACCAGCACUCUGCUCCUGCAUUCAACCUGGAAAGGCUGUUAAUGCAAAGCAAACAAGGAAGGAGCAGACCUUAAACCAUGAUCCCAGAUCGGCAUCCCUACAGGAGGAGGUCAUGCACAGACAUGAGCCCUGCAUGCCCACUCAGCUCCAGUGCAGCGUGUGGGGAAUUUGGUAAUUGUAUCGUGUGAUGAUUUUGCAGUUGAUAAGCAGCAGGCUUCUGCCUGCAGUGCUGUUAGUCUGGCUUCUUUAUGAAAACAUUUGUUUUCAAAGAAAAAAAGAGGAUACUUACGGCUGAUAAGUGUUAUUUGAUCAUUUUUUGUUGAAUUUAAUUUGUUUUAUGCUGUAUGCUCUCCAAACUACUCUGUAAAAUUGCACUUAAAGCAAAAAUGAUAUCAAUCACAAGCAAACUCAUAAAAUCCCCACCCCUUAAAAGUACUGCAUUAGUAUUAUUUAACCACGAUGCAUGCAAAUUAAAUGCAAAUUAAAUAGCAGUGGGUGUGGCACAUAUGCAAAUUUCUAAACCUACUCGGUUCCCAUUUCCCCUUUAUGAAGUGCCUGCAGCUAUAACUCCCUCAUUUUACGAGCUGCUCAGUUUCUAAUACAAUCUUUGUCAUUGUAACGAGGCCAAAAGAAUGGGAGGUGGAGCAAAGUAAGCCCAUCUCCACGGUCUUUCAAAGCAAAAUAGUAUUUGGUGGGGUCUUUGCAAACAAGGCAUGACCUGGCUCUAAAAGCAACCUGUGCUUGGGGCACACUCAUUAUCACUGCUAUUUUCAAAUGUGGGAUCUGUACUUUUCUGAAGGAAAUAUGACCACUCUCCAGACUGACCUACCUUCCACUGUCACAGCAAUGAGACAGGAACGCCCACAGCAUGAGCUGAGCCCCACAGAGGGGUGGGCUUCACACACAGGCUCUCUCUGGCUCGGGGCUGGAGGUUGGGCUGGUGAAGCUUUACAAGCAUUCUCCUCCAUCUUCUCCUGAUAUUUGAAGCCCCCCUGAUUUUGACGACUUCUGAAAUUUCCAUUUGAAUUGCUUAUCUGAGUGUUCUCACAAGAGAUGUGAGGAUUUCCACCCCUUGACAAACUCACCGCAUUCUUCUCAGGAUUUCACAAAGAACCCUCCAGCUGCUCAGUUUCCAUCCAGGGCCCUCAUCCGAGGAGAGAGGCAUUGAAUUUAGUUGCAACAGACUUAGUGACAGAGAAGCUUCUUUCAAACACCACCUCCCACACCUGGCAGACUCAGACUUAACACAGGGAUUGUUCCUCCACCCUUUAAUUAAAAGGGUUUCCUUCAGUUUGAAAGCAAUAGAACAAAGCAGCCCCAGUGUCUCUGUCGCUUUCCUCCUUUCUAGCUCUCAUAAUAUAAAAGGAAUCUGACAGUUUUUCUCUCCUUUAUCCACCUCAUCACAUUUGUCAUCAGGACUUUUCUCUGGGGAUGCAUUUAUAGACACUUCUUUCCAAAACCAGUUCCCCACCACCACCCGCAGCAAAGCUGAAAAGCCAAAGCACGAGGAGGGGGACACCAUCCAGCCCCCUGGGCACAACCACAAAACUCAGUCAGCAACAGCCUUUGGAGAUCAGCCUCUCCAGGGAGAGCAUAGAUGACUCCAAGGAGAGCUGGAGGAGCAGAAAGGGCAGACAAGAAAAUGAACAAGGACAUGGGGGGGACUCUGAGCACAAUGCAUGUGAAGCCCCAUUCACUGCAGACAGGACAUCCUAACUUAUGGUUGCAGAUCUUGGAAUAGCCCAAUCAAAGGCAGUGUCUGAAAGCACAGCAUUCAUGACUUGCUCCUGUCUGUUCUGUUCCCAGCUAAUUAUCCCUUCCUUAGGUGCAUGGAAGGUAUUCUAAUCUGUUUUUGCAAAGCUCUUUCCACCAAGUUAGGCAGCAAGGCAUGCAGAGCCUUCACUGCUGGUAAAACCAGCAUCAAGGAACUACUGAAGACAAGAAAGCCAUCUUUGCUGUUUGACAAACUAGUGGUUCCUCCACGGGGGAGGCACACCAAGCACAGGGAAACACUUAUCUUCCUCUGGAACAUGAGUCAGAAACGUCUUAGUUCCCCCCAUCCACCUUUGGGUGCAAAGGAUGGUGGGGAGCAUCCGACCUACCAAUUCUUUUUACCCACUGAUAGUGAGAAAAGCCGAAACCACACUGCAACUCGCUGUUCUCCCCACCCAGCUCCAUAGGGACGCUGGAUUCCUCAGCACUGAUGAUUACUAAGUGCCAAGACUACUGUGGUGCGGAACGUUACCCUCGGCCUCUCCAGCAUCUCAUAAUGUAUGCUCACUCAUGCUAGGGAUUAUGUGGUUCUGAUGGAAAUCACUUCACUUCGCAAGGAUAGAGAGAGCACACAGCUUUUGGAUUAGGAGAGUUAUCCAUCCUUCAGGUGCAUCUUAGCCUAUUCUUAGCCUUGGAGGGUAGCAAGAAGUAACAGUUCCUACCCAAGGAGCACUCUCCCUGGAGUAUUAGCAGUUUCGCAAAUUGGGAACACUCGUUAGCAGUCAUUUGGUUGACUACUCUUAAGAUGUACCUGUGCUUUAGUCUCAUGAGUCUUCCAAUGUAAUCAUUCACUUGACAUCUCCUCAACCUGCUGUGCAUGUUGUCAUUUUAUAGCCAAUUCCUCCAUAAUGUCACUGUGUACGUACACUUCACGUGGUCUGACCUUGAGAGAAAAAAACUUCUCUUAUAUAAUUGCACCCAUAAAUCCAGCUCAGUCUUCAUGUCCCAUUGAUCCUUCUCCAUAUUGAGAAUAACCCAUGUCCUGCUGAAACGUAUGGGAAACCUCCAGCUCUAAAGCUAUUGCUCUCCAUCUUGCCUUCAUGCUGCUCUGACCAAGUACGCUGUAGUGCUUCUAAGCUUUUCUUAUAAAAAUAAUCCUUCCUUAGUUAGAAAUGUAUUAAAGCAGUGAAUUACAGAAUUUCAGAAGACAGAGCCACAAAGGAGUUGAAAAAGCCUAUCCUUUCUGUAUUGACAGAGGAACAUAUCUACAUAAACUAUUCCUGAAAUAUGUUUUUUAAGCUGUUCUGGGAAUUAUUGGGAAUUAAUCCUGCUGUACUUGUAUUUUGACAUGAUUUUUUAUUUUUCCAUA